CGGGCCGCAGCAGGCGCGAAACCUUUACACUGCACGCAAGUGCGAUAAGGGGACCCCAAGUGCGAGGGCAUAUAGUCCUCGCUUUUCUCGACCGUAAGGCGGUCGAGGAAUAAGAGCUGGGCAAGACCGGUGCCAGCCGCCGCGGUAAUACCGGCAGCUCAAGUGAUGACCGAUAUUAUUGGGCCUAAAGCGUCCGUAGCCGGCCACGAAGGUUCAUCGGGAAAUCCGCCAGCUCAACUGGCGGGCGUCCGGUGAAAACCACGUGGCUUGGGACCGGAAGGCUCGAGGGGUACGUCCGGGGUAGGAGUGAAAUCCCGUAAUCCUGGACGGACCACCGAUGGCGAAAGCACCUCGAGAAGACGGA
rnacentral:rRNA from 1 species